rnacentral:rRNA from 1 species
GGCUGCGGCUCGACCCUGGGGUGAUCGCCUUCAACAUGGCUAUCAGCGCUUGCCGGCACGUCGGGAAGCCUAGCAGGGCCCUGGGGCUGCUGCGCGAGAUGCGGGGGU